rnacentral:rRNA from 1 species
GACGAACGCUGGCGGCGUGCCUAAUACAUGCAAGUAGAACGCUGAAGGAGGAGCUUGCUUCUCCGGAUGAGUUGCGAACGGGUGAGUAACGCGUAGGUAACCUGCCUGGUAGCGGGGGAUAACUAUUGGAAACGAUAGCUAAUACCGCAUAACAGUAGAUAUUGCAUGAUAUCUGCUUGAAAGGUGCAAUUGCAUCACUACCAGAUGGACCUGCGUUGUAUUAGCUAGUUGGUGAGGUAACGGCUCACCAAGGCGACGAUACAUAGCCGACCUGAGAGGGUGAUCGGCCACACUGGGACUGAGGCACGGCCCAGACUCCUACGGGAGGCAGCAGUAGGGAAUCUUCGGCAAUGGACGGAAGUCUGACCGAGCAACGCCGCGUGAGUGAAGAAGGUUUUCGGAUCGUAAAGCUCGGUUGUAAGAGAAGAACGAGUGUGAGAGUGGAAAGUUCACACUGUGACGGUAUCUUACCAGAAAGGGACGGCUAACUACGUG